UACGGGGGGGGCAAGCGUUGUUCGGAAUUAUUGGGCGUAAAGGGUGCGUAGGCGGUUUGGUAAGUCUGAUGUGAAAUCUAUGGGCUCAACUCAUAGUCUGCAUCGGAAACUGCCGGGCUUGAGUGUGGGAGAGGUGAGUGGAAUUCCUGGUGUAGCGGUGAAAUGCGUAGAUAUCAGGAGGAACACCUGUGGCGAAGGCGGCUUCCUGGCCUGUUCUUGACGCUGAGGCGCGAAAGCUAGGGGAGCAAACGGG
rnacentral:rRNA from 1 species